AGAGUUUGAUUCUGGCUCAGGACGAACGCUGGCGGCGUGCUUAACACAUGCAAGUCGAACGAUGAAGCCUAGCUUGCUAGGUGGAUUAGUGGCGAACGGGUGAGUAAUACGUGAGUGACCUACCUUUGACUCUGGGAUAAGCCUGGGAAACUGGGUCUAAUACCGGAUACGACCAAUCUCCGCAUGGGGUGUUGGUGGAAAGCGUUAUGGAGUGGUUUUAGAUGGGCUCACGGCCUAUCAGCUUGUUGGUGAGGUAAUGGCUUACCAAGGCGACGACGGGUAGCCGGCCUGAGAGGGUGACCGGCCACACUGGGACUGAGACACGGCCCAGACUCCUACGGGAGGCAGCAGUGGGGAAUAUUGCACAAUGGGCGCAAGCCUGAUGCAGCGACGCCGCGUGAGGGAUGACGGCCUUCGGGUUGUAAACCUCUGUUAGCAUCGAAGAAGCGAAAGUGACGGUAGGUGCAGAGAAAGCGCCGGCUAACUACGUGCCAGCAGCCGCGGUAAUACGUAGGGCGCGAGCGUUGUCCGGAAUUAUUGGGCGUAAAGAGCUUGUAGGCGGUUGGUCGCGUCUGCUGUGAAAGGCUGGGGCUUAACCCUGGUUUUGCAGUGGGUACGGGCUAACUAGAGUGCAGUAGGGGAGACUGGAAUUCCUGGUGUAGCGGUGGAAUGCGCAGAUAUCAGGAGGAACACCGAUGGCGAAGGCAGGUCUCUGGGCUGUAACUGACGCUGAGAAGCGAAAGCAUGGGGAGCGAACAGGAUUAGAUACCCUGGUAGUCCAUGCCGUAAACGUUGGGCACUAGGUGUGGGGGACAUUCCACGUUUUCCGCGCCGUAGCUAACGCAUUAAGUGCCCCGCCUGGGGAGUACGGCCGCAAGGCUAAAACUCAAAGGAAUUGAC
rnacentral:rRNA from 1 species